rnacentral:misc_RNA from 1 species
UUUCCGUAGGUGAACCUGCGGAAGGAUCAUUAUUGUAUAACCGAGGCGCGAGGGCUGUCGCUGACCCGAAAGGUCGUGCACGCCCGAGUGCCCUCACACACAUCCAACUCACCCCUAUGUGCACCACCGCGUGGGUCCCCCUUUGGCUUGUUCGGAGGGGGGCUUACGUUUUCACACAAACUUUGUAUGCAGUGUAGAAUGUAUUUUUUGUUUUUGCGAUCACGCAAUCAAUACAACUUUCAACAACGGAUCUCUUGGCUCUC